UUACAAUGGAGAGUUUGAUCCUGGCUCAGGAUGAACGCUAGCGGCAGGCCUAAUACAUGCAAGUCGAGGGGGCAGCAAUGUCACCGGCGCACGGGUGCGUAACACGUUUGAAAUCUGCCUUAAACAGGGGAAUAGCCCGCCGAAAGGCGGAUUAAUACCGCAUAUGCCGAUGACUGGGCAUCCAGUAGUCGGGAAAGGUCGCAAGGCCGGUUUGAGAUGAUCAUGCGUCUGAUUAGCUAGUUGGCGGGGUAGAAGCCCACCAAGGCGACGAUCAGUAGGGGACCUGAGAGGGCGAUCCCCCACACGGACACUGAGAUACGGGUCCGACUCCUACGGGAGGCAGCAGUAGGGAAUAUUGGGCAAUGGGCGCAAGCCUGACCCAGCCAUGCCGCGUGCAGGAAGAAGGCCCUCUGGGUUGUAAACUGCUUUUGACGGGGAAGAAACGACUCUUGCGAGAGGCAUUGACGGUACCCGCAGAAUAAGCACCGGCUAACUCCGUGCCAGCAGCCGCGGUAAUACGGAGGGUGCAAGCGUUGUCCGGAUUUAUUGGGUUUAAAGGGUGCGUAGGCGGUCUGGUAAGUCGGCGAUGAAAGCCCGG
rnacentral:rRNA from 1 species